rnacentral:rRNA from 1 species
CGCGUAGGCGGCUAAGCAAGUCAGAGGUGAAAUCCCUACGGCUCAACCGAGGAACUGCCUCUGAUACUGCUUGGCUUGAGUCCCGGAGAGGGUAGUGGAAUUCCCAGUGUAGCGGUGAAAUGCGUAGAUACUGGGAGGAACACCGGUGGCGAAGGCGGCUACCUGGACGGGUACUGACGCUGAGGCGCGAAAGCGUGGGGAGACAAACAG